AAAGGAACAGGCAAGUUUGAAAUGGAAUUGUACAUAAAACUAUCUUGUUCAUCUUUGGGGUUUUUUUUGCUAUCCCAAGUAUCUGGUAUGCAAUCAGGUUUGAAACAGCAAUACUGAAGCACAAUUCCUCGUGCAGUCUCAUCAGCAGGCCUUUUUUUCCCAAGACUUCUGUGGAUUUGCAGAAUUCUUGCCUAAAAAGGCCGUGUCUGGGUCAUUGACUGAUGUGACUUUCUAGGAGCCUACAGCAGCUCUUAAAAGAGUUUACCUAUGUUAUUUAGCAACCAUACCAAGUUUUAUUUGGCAUGGACAGAUUAAGGGGACAGUGUUUAAGAAUACUGACUUCCAUUUUUGUUCUGCCCAGGGGCAAAAAGUUCUGGGCAAGGAAGUGAAGUAACUCUAGAUAGACUAAUAUGACAUCCUUCCAUCUGUAGACAACGUGUCUUUUCCAGUGCAUUAUAAGAUCAUUAAUGAACAGGGAAGUUUUACACUGAGGUUAUGGCUGGUGCUCGCCUGCAGUUUUCUGAUUCUGGGCAACAAAGGUUUUAAGUGUGUAAAUGAAUGUAAAGAUUGGGUCACUGCUAUUUAAAUUCCAUUAAUGAGUGAUUAAUUGUGCCAUUAAUAUAAAAAAAAGGGACUAGGCUAAAUGAACAAAAGAUUUACUGUUUUGCUGCUUAUUUAUAAAAUGGGAGACAUGCAAUUGAGAACUUCACCUUGCAACGGAAUUACUAUGUGUUUAGUAAAUACAGGUACAAGCAUAAAAUCUGAGUGUUCAGAGAGUCUUUCAACUUCCUUAUUUAGGUUUCUUUGUAAAGGGAACCAAGUGUUCCUUCCCAUCUUCACACACACCCCGCUCCUGGAUUUACGUACGGCUCCUACCUUUAUCAGUGAAUUGCAAAAGAAACUAUAGACAACACUAUCACUGACCGCACAAUUCUUCUGAACAGGCUCAUCCAGUAUGCAGGAUGAGGUGGAGGGAUCUACAAGGAAAAACGAAGAAUUUGGACAUCUAUUAGUUUUUAGCAUGGCUUCUGAUGAUCCAACUAGUUUGAGCUGGAAGCUAACUUCUGCUUACUGCUGAGCUCUGUGUGCUGAGCCUCUGUUUCAACAGAGCCUGGAAGUCUGCUGUCCAAGCGGAAUUUCUGGGCUGAACCAGUGGGACACAGAAAGGCUCUGGUCCACAGCACACGGCAGCAGUGCAUGGUUCCACACACAGAGCAAA